ensembl:lncRNA
GUGGGGACAAUGGGGAUGAUGGACAUAGGGACGAUGGGGACAAUGGACGUGGGGAUGAGGUGAUGGGGACGAUGGACGUGGGGACGGUGGGGAUAAUGGACGUGGGGAUGGUGGGGUUGAUGGAUGUGGGGAUGACGGUGACAGUGGAUGUGGGGAUGAGGUGAUGGGGACGAUGGACGUGGGGUUGGUGGGAACAACGUAGGUGGAGGUGAUGGAGAUAGAGAUGAGGAUGAGGAUGAAGGGGAUGGAGAUGAUGAGGAUGGUGGGGUGGAGAUGAGAUGAGGAUGAUGUGGAUGAUGGGGAUGGAGAUGAUGAAGAUGAGGAUGGCGGGGAUGGAGAUGAUGAGGAUGAUGAGUCUGAUGGGGAGGGAAAUGAUGGAGAUGGGGACAAUAGGGAUGGAGAUGAAGAUGAUGAUGAGGACAGUGGGGUUGGAGGUGAUUAAGAUGAUGGGGAGGGGGAUGGAGGUGAUGAAGUUGAUGAAAACGAUGGGGAUGGAGAUGAUGGAGAUUAUGAGGAUGGAGAUGAAGAUGGUGAGGAUGAUGGGGAGGGGGAUGGAGGUGAUGGAGAUGAUGAAAACAGUGGGGCUGGAAAUGAUGGAGAUGGGGACAAGGGGGAUGGAGAUGAUGGAGAUGAUGGAGGGGGGAUAGAGAUGAGAUAAAGAUGAUGUGGGCAGUAGGGAUGGAGAUGAUGAUGAGGUCAGUGGGGAUGGAGAUGAUGAAGAUGGGGACAAGUGGGGGCAAUGGAGGUGGAGGUGAUGACGAUGGGGACAACGGGGAUGGAGGUGAUGAAGAUGGGGACCAUGGGGGUGGUGGAGGUGGAGGUGAUGAGGACGAUGGGGACAGUGGGGAUGGGCAUGGAGAUAACGAAGACGAUGAGGACGAUGAUGAGGACAGUGAUGAGGAUGGAGAUAACAAAGAUGACGAGGAUGAUGAUGGGGACAGUGGGGGUGGGGAUGGAGAUAACGAUGAUGAGGACGAUGAUGGGGAUGGCUGGGAUGGAGAUAACGAAGACAGUGAGGAUGAUGAUGGGGACAGCGGGAUGGAGAUAACGGAGACGAUGAGGACUGGGGAUGGAGAUAACGAAGAUGAUGAGGACGAUGAUGGGGACAGUGAUGGGGAUGGAGAUAACGAAGACAAUGAGGAUGAUGAUGAGGACAUUGGGGGUGGGGAUGGAGAUAACGACGGUGAGGAUGAUGAUGGGGACAGUGGGGACGGAGAUAACGAAGACGACGAGGACGAUGAUGGGGACAGCGGGGGUGGGGAUGGAGAUAACGACGAUGAGGACGAUGAUGGGGACAGUGGGGAUGGAGAUAAUGACGAUGAUGAGGAUGGUGAUGGGGACAGUGAUGGGGAUGGAGAUAACGAAGACGACGAGGACGAUGAUGGGGACAUUGGGGGUGGGGAUGGAGAUAACGAAGACGAGGAUGAUGAUGGGUACAGUGGGGAUGGAGAUAACGGAGAUGAUGAGGACGAUGAUGGGGACAACAGGGAUGGAGAUAAUGAAGGUGAUGAGGAUGAGGAUAGGGACAGCUGGGAUGGAGAUAACGAAGACGAGGAUGAUGAUGGAGGAUGAUGAUGGAGACAGUAGGGAUGGAGAUAAUGAAGACGACGAGGAUGAUGAUGGGGACAGUGGGGGUGGGGAUGGAGAUAAUGAUGAUGAGGAUGAUGAUGGGGACAGCUGGGAUGGAGAUAACAAAGACAAUGAAGAUGAUGAUGAGGACAGCUGGGAUUGAGAUAAUGAAGACGAUGAGGACGAUGAUGGGGACAGCAGGGAUGGAGAUAACAGAGACGAUGAGGAUGAUGAUGGGGACAGUGAUGGGGAUGGAGAUAACGAAGACAAUGAGGAUGAUGAUGUGGACAUUGGGGGUGGGGAUGGAGAUAACGACGGUGAGGAUGAUGAUGGGGACAUUGGGGAUGGAGAUAACGGAGAUGAGGACGAUGAAGGGGACAGUGGGGAUGGAGAUAAUGGAGAUGAUGAGGACAGUGAUGGGGACAGCGGGGGUGGGGAUGGAGAUAACGACGAUGAUGAUGAGGACAGUGGGGAUGAAGAUAACAGAGACGACAAGGAUGAUGAUGGGGACAGCGGGGAUGGAGAUAACGAAGACGACGAGGACGAUGGGACAGUGGGGGUGGGGAUGGAGAUGUGAAGGCAGCGCUGCGAGCCCUGGCCCCACAUGACCCCCCCCGCCCUCUCCCCCGUUUCCAUGCCCACAGAUCGAGGAGAUCGAGCGCGAGAUCAUCAAGCAGGAGGAGAACGUCGACCCCGACUACUGGGAGAAGCUGCUGCGGCACCACUACGAGCAGCAGCAGGAGGACCUGGCACGAAACCUGGGCAAGGGCAAGCGCGUCCGCAAGCAGGUCAACUACAACGACGCGGCCCAGGAGGACCAAGGUGGGCACUGGGAGGGACUGGGGGGCACCGGGAAGGGAAUGGGAGGGCACUGGGGGCCGCUGGGAGGGACUGGGGGGGAUUGGGAGGGACUGGGAAGGACUGGGAGGUACUGGGAAGGACUGGGAGGGCACUGGAGACCACUGGGAGGGAUUGGGAGGGGAUUGGGAGGGCACUGGGAGGC